UUGCAGAGGUGUGCGCGAGGCCGUGCGGCGAGCCGUGCGGGGACUGGAAGCCGAGGGCGCAAAGCGGCGCCCUCCCUGGCUCCUAGCGCCCAAGUUCGCUGGCGCAGGUCCCUUUAAGGGCCGGGCCCUCCGCAGAGCGCACGUGAGCGGCCUCAGGAAGCCUGCGUCUAGCCGCAGCUCCGACGCUUUCGGGCCAAGGAAGGCAUCUGCCCUGGACCUCUGACGUUAGUGGAAACUGAGGCCCAAGAGAGGGCACACACUGCCCAAGCGCCGGGAGUCCUGGAGCCCUGCUGUACUGGAUGCUAUGAGUUGCUAAAAGUGAGCCUGGCUUUUUAGGCAGGUUGUGGCCUAGAUGCUGAGAGCUUCUAGCCGUGAGUUCAGCAAGGUCCAACAUGGAUGGAACGCGUUUCUGGAAGCCAGAGGAGAGAAACAAUGGCAGUGGACUGGAGUCUGACCAUUAGGGCUCCUGUUGCCUGUGUUUGG